rfam:Pichia membranifaciens NRRL Y-2026 unplaced genomic scaffold PICMEscaffold_8, whole genome shotgun sequence.
GGCAAUUUGUCCGAGUGGUUAAGGAGAAAGACUUGAAAUCUUUUGGGCUCUGCCCGCGCAGGUUCGAGUCCUGCAGUUGUCG